GCGCCCGUAGCUCAGAUGGAUAGAGCAUUGGCCUCCGGAGCCAAAGGUCUCAGGUUCGAAUCCUGUCGGGUGCG
rnacentral:tRNA from 1 species